GAUGAACGCUGGCGGCGUGCCUAAUACAUGCAAGUCGAGCGAACAGACGAGGAGCUUGCUCCUCUGACGUUAGCGGCGGACGGGUGAGUAACACGUGGAUAACCUACCUAUAAGACUGGGAUAACUUCGGGAAACCGGAGCUAAUACCGGAUAAUAUAUUGAACCGCAUGGUUCAAUAGUGAAAGACGGUUUUACUGUCACUUAUAGAUGGAUCCGCACCGCAUUAGCUAGUUGGUAAGGUAACGGCUUACCAAGGCAACGAUGCGUAGCCGACCUGAGAGGGUGAUCAGCCACACUGGAACUGAGACACGGUCCAGACUCCUACGGGAGGCAGCAGUAGGGAAUCUUCCGCAAUGGGCGAAAGCUUGACGGAGCAACGCCGCGUGAGUGAUGAAGGUCUUCGGAUCGUAAAACUCUGUUAUUAGGGAAGAACAAAUGUGUAAGUAACCAUGCACGUCUUGACGGUACCUAAUCAGAAAGCCACGGCUAACUACGUG
rnacentral:rRNA from 1 species